AUACGUAGGGGGCGAGCGUUGUCCGGAAUGACUGGGCGUAAAGGGCGUGUAGGCGGCCGAUUAAGUCUGGAGUGAAAGUCCUGCUUUCAAGGUGGGAAUUGCUUUGGAGACUGGUUGGCUUGAGUGCGGAAGAGGUAAGUGGAAUUCCCAGUGUAGCGGUGAAAUGCGUAGAGAUUGGGAGGAACACCAGUGGCGAAGGCGACUUACUGGGCCGUAACUGACGCUGAGGCGCGAAAGCGUGGGGAGCGAACAGGAUUAGAUACCCUGGUAGUCCACGCGGUAAACGAUGAAUGCUAGGUGUAGCGGGUAUCGACCCCUGCUGUGCCGCAGUAAACACAAUAAGCAUUCCGCCUGGGGAGUACGGCCGCAAGGUUGAAACUCAAAUGAAUUGACGGGG
rnacentral:rRNA from 1 species